AGGGUAUUUUGAGGCAGCAGCACAGAUCUGAAGCCAGAGCAGCUGCCUUCACUCUGGGGGUCCUUGUGUGCCAAGGCUCCCGGUGAAUUCCUACAUAAGCAAAGAAGACACUGCCACAUUCAAGGGGGACAAAGAGACUUCACCAGCCCUUCACUUUAGCAACAUUUCCAGAGAAAGGGGCAAGACCAAGUUACAGCAUUCCAGGUGCUGGUGAGGAGACCACAGCCUGACUACAACCCAUGGGAAGCCAGAUAAGUGUCUGCUCCCCUUCUGAAAAGAAGCCAGAAUAUAAGAACGUGAAAAUUCCUGGGCCUGGUCAUGUCCAUCGUGCUCCAUGUACCGAAGCAAGAUCCACUGGGAGCCCUCCCCAUUCUCGACCAGGAAGAGACACCCUGUUGUACCAGAGCUGCUCCAAGCAACACGCAACACGCCGCGUGGCUGCAGAAAAGCAGCCUUUAUUUUGGAACUGUUUCCCUCUUCACCCUGCUUUGCAGUGAUGUGUGGUCACCCCACAAGUGCUGAUCUGCUCCUGGUUGUGUGACCACACUGUCAUUAAAGUUUUCUCCUCUCAGGCCGCAGCACUGGGCCAGCCAAAGCAGGGAUGCUGGCAGUCUGAAUAGCACAGGGACCAUCUGGGGAUGGAAAGAUGUACUCUGGCAGCAUUGGCAGCUACUGUGGGGUGAGCUAGUCCUGCCCAGCUCUACCCUCACAGCCAGAUAGG
rnacentral:lncRNA from 1 species